AAGGCUAGCUACAGGCUUAACACAUGCAAGUCGAGGGGUAACGAGAGGGAAGCUUGCUUUCCUUGUCGACGACCGGCGAAUGGGUGAGUAACGCGUAUCCAACCUGCCCUUCAGUAAGGGAUAGCCUUUCGAAAGAAAGAAUAAUACCUUAUAAGAUCGUUUGAUGACAUCAGAUGACGAUUAAAGAUUUAUCGCUGAAGGAUGGGGAUGCGUCCCAUUAGGCAGUAGGCGGGGUAACGGCCCACCUAACCUACGAUGGGUAGGGGUUCUGAGAGGAAGGUCCCCCACAUUGGAACUGAGACACGGUCCAAACUCCUACGGGAGGCAGCAGUGAGGAAUAUUGGUCAAUGGCCGUAAGGCUGAACCAGCCAAGUAGCGUGCAGGAUGACGGCCCUAUGGGUUGUAAACUGCUUUUAAACGGGGAUAAAGUGAGCCACGUGUGGUUUAUUGCAGGUACCGUUUGAAUAAGGACCGGCUAAUUCCGUGCCAGCAGCCGCGGUAAUACGGAAGGUCCAGGCGUUAUCCGGAUUUAUUGGGUUUAAAGGGAGCGUAGGCGGAGCGUCAAGCCAGCAGUGAAAUGUAGCGGCCCAACCGCUGCACUGCUGUUGGAACUGGCGCCCUUGAGUGCACACGAGGUAUGCGGAAUUUGUGGUGUAGCGGUGAAAUGCUUAGAUAUCACGAAGAACUCCGAUUG
rnacentral:rRNA from 1 species